rnacentral:rRNA from 1 species
UUGAACGCUGGCGGCAUGCUUUACACAUGCAAGUCGAACGGUAACAGGCCUUCGGGUGCUGACGAGUGGCGAACGGGUGAGUAAUGCAUCGGAACGUGCCCAGAGGUGGGGGAUAACGCAGCGAAAGCUGUGCUAAUACCGCAUGUGAUCUGAGGAUGAAAGCGGGGGACCAAGCAGCAAUGUUUGGCCUCGCGCCUCUGGAGCGGCCGAUGUCAGAUUAGGUAGUUGGUGGGGUAAAGGCCUACCAAGCCGACGAUCUGUAGCUGGUCUGAGAGGACGACCAGCCACACUGGGACUGAGACACGGCCCAGACUCCUACGGGAGGCAGCAGUGGGGAAUUUUGGACAAUGGGCGCAAGCCUGAUCCAGCAAUGCCGCGUGCGGGAAGAAGGCCUUCGGGUUGUAAACCGCUUUUGUACGGAACGAAAAGGCUCUGGCUAAUACCUGGGGCUGAUGACGGUACCAUAAGAAUAAGCACCGGCUAACUACGUG